rnacentral:rRNA from 1 species
ACGGAAGGCAGCAGUGGGGAAUAUUGCACAAUGGGGGAAACCCUGAUGCAGCGACGCCGCGUGAGUGAAGAAGUAUUUCGGUAUGUAAAGCUCUACCAGCAGGAAAGAAAAUGACGGUACCUGACUAAGAAGCCCCGGCUAACUACGUGCCAGCAGCCGCGGUAAUACGUAGGGGGCAAGCGUUAUCCGGAUUUACUGGGUGUAAAGGGAGCGUAGACGGCUUUGCAAGUCUGAAGUGAAAGCCCGGGGCUCAACCCCGGAACUGCUUUGGAAACUGUAGAGCUAGAGUGCAGGAGAGGUAAGUGGAAUUCCUAGUGUAGCGGUGAAAUGCGUAGAUAUUAGGAGGAACACCAGUGGCGAAGGCGGCUUACUGGACUGUAACUGACGUUGAGGCUCGAAGGCGUGGGGAGCAAACAGGAUUAGAUACCCUGGUA